GAUGAACGCUGGCGGCGUGCCUAAUACAUGCAAGUCGAGCGAACAGAUGAGGAGCUUGCUCCUCUGACGUUAGCGGCGGACGGGUGAGUAACACGUGGAUAACCUCCCUAUAAGACUGGGAUAACUUCGGGAAACCGGAGCUAAUACCGGAUAAUAUAUUGAACCGCAUGGUUCAAUAGUGAAAGACGGUUUUGCUGUCACUUAUAGAUGGAUCCGCGCCGCAUUAGCUAGUUGGUAAGGUAACGGCUUACCAAGGCGACGAUGCGUAGCCGACCUGAGAGGGUGAUCGGCCACACUGGAACUGAGACACGGUCCAGACUCCUACGGGAGGCAGCAGUGGGGAAUCUUCCGCAAUGGGCGAAAGCCUGACGGAGCAACGCCGCGUGAGUGAUGAAGGUCUUCGGGUCGUAAAACUCUGUUAUUAGGGAAGAACAAAUGUGUAAGUAACUAUGCACGUCUUGACGGUACCUAAUCAGAAAGCCACGGCUAACUACGUG
rnacentral:rRNA from 1 species